rnacentral:lncRNA from 1 species
ACUCGGCCCUCCCCGGCGGCCUCCAGGCGGGACGCGGCGUCGGCGCCUGAAGUUGGGGCUCCGUCCUGCCUCCCUGCGGGCCGGGAAAAGGGUCUCGCACGUGCGCCCCCCGCGGUCCGCGAUCCCCAGCCGUCGGCCUAGCCCCAGGCGGGUCGAUCCCGCUGUCCCCAGCCCCGGACCAGCCUCCUCCAGCUGCCGGGUGGAGAGGCUGGGGGGCUUUUCCCGAGGUCGGCGGCGAGGCUGAGAGCCCCGGCCCCGCCGCGCCCGAGGAGACAGCCCUUCGCGGGCUCUAAAGGCCCCGGGGCCUCCGGGAUGUUCCGGGGCCGAGUUGUGCCUGUUGCCGUUUCCGGCGCCCGGGGCCUCCGGGAUGUUCCGGGGCCGAGUUGUGCCUGUUGCCGUUUCCGGCGCCGCUGCCCUCGGGCACCGUCCCCUCUGGCCCUGCCUUGGUCUGGGAGGGGUCGCUAAGGGGGCGGAGGGCGCUCCUAGGGGGCCCUGCGGAUCUCCUGGCCUCGGCCCCCCCGGGUGGCCAGAGCGGGGCUCUGCACAAAGGCCUCAGGUAGCCGCGGCCUCGGUUCCGAGAAAGCCCCUCGCACUGACCGGGCCUCAGCUGACCCGGGCAGCCUACUGACCCGACCCUGACGCCCGGGCCCUCCAGGCCUGUCAGAGCCUCCAGGAAAGGAAAUGGGCUGCGGGGCGCAGCGAGGCUGGACAGCGGGCGCUGGCCCAGGACUCCCCUUGCCCAGAGGAGAAAAUGGAGGCUGAGCCUCCGGAGAGCCCAGCUCGAUGCCAGGAGCACUUUGCAGAGGGACACGGAUGGGGGCUGGCAGCACUUCACCCCUGUGCGGUAACGGAGUAACCGGAGCGCACUGAAGUCAGCAGCACCCCCACCCACCCACCAAGGCCACCGCCACCUCCCACCAUCCCGACCGUCCUUUGCUCCCUCAACCCUUGUUGCUGUGGGGCUUGGGGAUAUGUUGGAUUCUCACUGGCCCGGAACUUUGCUCCCCGAGGGCCGCCUGGCUGUAGAGCAGAACCCCCAAGUCCUGGAGAGAAGGGCAGAGGCCGGCCGACCAGGAGCUCUGCAGAGGAGCAAACUCUGGCCUGCGGACCCAGGGC